UUAUUAUUUCCAUAAUUCAUUAUUCAUUGAAUGUUGACUUUGUGUAACACAAGCAGUGGAGAGAGAUGCAAUCAUCCCAAGGGGCAGGAGAGACACAUCUGCAGCAAUUCCAAGGAGACGAGGUGUGAGUCAGAAGAGGGGAGAUGCCUCCCCAGGACUGCGUGGGAAGCUUUGGAGCUCUGGUAAAGAACCAAGGGUCAGGAGACACCGACACAGUCACAUUCAUUAUAACACCAAUCACAAUGAGCAACAGCCAUGAAAUCAGCCUGGAUGCUCAUCAGUGGGUAAGUGGGUGAAGAGAAUUCGGUAUGUG
rnacentral:lncRNA from 1 species